rnacentral:lncRNA from 1 species
UGUCCUGACGAUGGCCUGGAGUGUGUGCCCAUUGGGCAACACCAAGUCCGAAUGCAGAUCCUCAUGAUCCAGUACCCGAGCAGUCAGCUGGGGGAGAUGUCCCUGGAAGAACACAGCCAAUGUGAAUGCAGACCAAAAAGAAAGGAGAGUGCUGUGAAGCCAGACAGCCCCAGGACCCUCUGCCCACGCUGCACCCAGCGCCGUCAGCGCCCUGAUCCCCGGACCUGCCGUUGCCGCUGCAGACGCCGCCGCUUCCUCCAUUGCCAAGGGCGGGGCUUAGAGCUCAACCCAGAUACCUGCAGGUGAGGAGUCUGUGGGGUGGCACUGGUGUGGGAAGGCAGCAAUGCUGCGUCCUGGGGCAGGUCCAGAUGGGCCUGCCAAUGGUGGAGAGACCAGGGAAGGAGGAGACAGCUGCAUGUGUUAAAUCACUUACUGUGCAUCUGCUGGCACCCAGAUCAUCAGAAACUUAGCUCAAGACUAGAUGCACAAAUCAGAUGGUGAGAGAGAUGGUGUCACCACCAAUAGAAGAUGCUAAGCUCUAUGACAGGGACAACGAUCUAAUCUAAGCCAUCAACCAUCUCCUGGAGGGGAACUCAAGAAGACUUUUUCCACGGGCUUUACACGAUAGAUAUUUGCUCCAUUCUGUAGGCUCUGAGAGAGCAGAGAUGUAUGAGAGAGAGCCUCGAAUACUUAAGUAGCCCUUCUCUGUUCCAUAGUGAGGCCCUGGGAUGAUUUAUGGGCCAGGCCCUGGCGGCUUCUAGAGAGUAUCAAAUAAAACAGGGUUCCAAAAAGGAAAUGCAUCAAGAAGGCUGGGCCUGGACAUGGUGGUACAUAUGGGGAGUUUUGGCAAUACAGAGAGAGUUUGAAGCCAGCCUGGGCUAUAUGGAACCUUGUUUAAAAGCAAAACCCACAGAAGACAAAAA